GUGCGAGGCCCAUAGUUCGGGUGGUCUGAAUCGGUGAGCCCUGCUCCAGCUGCUACUGGUGUGGCUGAAGAGGAUGUGGCCCAGGAUCUUCCCCGUGCCCCAACUCCUCAUGCCGCAGCUGCGAGAUGGGGGCAACCGGCAGGCCAAGGCGCUGGAGUUACUAGCCGCAAACACCAGGCGGCAGGGCCAGGCAUCAUUGGAAAGCUGCGACAGGUUCAAUUUCUCGGUGACGUGGUCCACGAAUUGCAAGGCGUUGGUACCCUCGCCCGGGCCCUCAUUGCAGCGGAAGGCACCUGCACAGUGAUUUGUAAAGACUAGUUGUACAUAUAUGUAGAUUUAUUUUUGUUCACAUCACGAGCUAUGAUACGCUGGUUUGCUUCAAUGGUGCCCUGCAAUUUUUUCUCAGUUAAUUUUCUUUUUCUGCAUAUCAGAAGCACUGAUGUGCUGUUCAAUUGUACAUAGUAAAGUGUAGCUCAAUGGUAAAUCGUGUCCUGCGAUGUCAUUUCUUUUUAAUCUCAUCGUGCGAAGUGAUGCAUUCAGCAGUUUUGUAGUACAUGUGCAUAGCACAGUGUGGUUUCAUUUAUAAAUCAUGUUUUGCCAUGUCAUUUUUUAAAAUCUCAUUAUACAAAGUCAUGCAUUGAGCAAUUUUGUAGUAUAUGCACAUAGUGCACUGUAGUGUAUCUUUAUGUUUAUAGUGCAUACGUGUAGAAUAUUGUGGCACACUGUACGUUUUCUAUCGAUUUUUACCAUCCUAGAAAAAAAGAAAAGCGUUUGUGAAUGGUCUAGGUUGCACAACAAUUUUGAAAUAUUGCAAGACCAAAAAAUAGUUGACGAAUACGUGUUCUGUUGCUUAGAAGUGUUUAGACAACAGGAUUGGGUACAAACAGAAAUCAAUAAUAGAGGAAGACAUAUCAGCAACCAACAACUUGCAUUUUUUUAGCGAGUUCAAUUAAUACCGGUUCGACUGUGCCUUGUUUUCAUGUAAUACAAUGACUUUCGUGCUGCGAGACGCGUGUGUUGUUGCAGAGGAGCAGCAGGCACUUUGUAAUAACUCCAUUUGUAUGUUAUAAAAGGAAGCUACUUUUAUAUUCUUUUCCUUGGCAUUAAAUUUAAAGGAUAUUUAUUUAUUUUGCUUUUUAUGUGCAUUGCUCGUGAUACUUGUAAUAAAAUUUCAAU